GGUUAUUUUUAAGGGGUCUAGCACAGGGUUGAGGGGGGGGGGGGUAAAAACUGCAAACUUAGCGUUACAAAAUUUAAGGACGGCGCGCCCACGCAUUGCAAUGCACUUCUGCACUUAUAUUCUCUCCAACCUCCAUGGAUAUUUUAGAUAAUUAUACUAUGGAGCUUUUGAAUGUGAGAGGGAUUUGUGAUGAAAAUAUUUAUUCUUCCGUCAAAUUCCGCGAGAAACACAAUUGUGCCGCUGCUUAUCUCUUAAAUCAACUCCAAAACUCAAAAAAGGUUCUCAAAGUUGAGACCGUUAAGGCGGGGAUAUCCCAUUCUACCAUGAAAGUCAAUCUCACAUCAAGACAAACUCUCUACGCAAAGAUAGGGAUCGAAAACAUUGAUAGGAUUGCAGUGUUUUCAGUUGUGUCUCCAAACAAACUGGCACCGUUAAUGUAGUAGUUCCCUAUAUUUGUAUAGAAAGUUUAGUUGAUAUAGAGCUGGACUCUCAUGGUAAUGUGAGAUAUCCCUGUCAUUACGAUCUCAACUUUGAGAGCUUUGUUUUUUGCCAUAGACUUUAUUGGGAGAAGGUACUUAAAUCUCACAUCCUUCACAAAUGCAAGAGCUACGUUGAGGUGUGUUUUUGUUUUUGACACAGAAAAAGGAUUAAUAAAUUAAUUUCAUCGGGAAAUUCAAUUUCCUUUUUGUAACUUUUGAUACUUGGCUAUUACGCAAUAAGAUACUAAAAUUUUAAAACUAUACAAAAAGUCAGUAACACUUAAAAUAUAGAGGCAAAAAAAAAAAAAAUGGAAAAAAACCGGAAAUGAAAAAUUUUCAAGCAUAGGAAGUAUCUGAUGUUAAUGUAGUAAUAUUAAAAUCACGUUGAUUAAUUCAAACGUUCUGCUAAACAGGAGAAAAACUCUAAUGAAAUUACAAUUUUUAUAGUACACAAGUCCAAAAAACCAGCAAGUAACCAUGAGUAUGAGCUGCUAUUGCUCAAAGCUACUGAAGUAAAGGAAAGCCCUAAUGAUACAAUAGAUGUAAGAGAAAAAAAGUUCAAAUUCGUUGGAGACACACUAAAUCCAGAUUCCAACGUCAUCGGUAAAAUAUUUUUAUACUAAAUUAUGGUAUAGAUUAUUUAUUAAAGAAAAAGAGGAGUUAUAAAAGUGAAAAAAAUCAAUACGCGAGUUAUACAUGUAAUAUGUUUCAUCAUUGCAAUAAUUAAUAAGAUAAAUAAUUAUAAUUAGUCCAUAAUGUGGUCAGGUCAAGUCUAUAAUUUAAGCUUUCAAUGCCUUCAUAACCGACCUUUAAUCAGUUACCGUUUUAUUACCUUGUAUUAUGCAAACCGUACAAUCAAGAUUGACGGGAGUAAGUUAGCAUUUCCAUUACUAAUUUUAUUUUACUCAAAAAUAAAGUAAUCGAGAAAAAUAUUUUUCUACAGAUGCAAUUGGUAUAAUUGGAAUCGUAUCUGGAGAAAAGGAGGUAGGAACCAACAUUCUGAAAAGGGAAAUCAUACUCCAGGAACACAAUUUAUCAUCCAUGUGUUUGAUUCUGUGGGAAGAGCAACCCGAAAAAUUGGAAGAGGGAGAUGAAGAUAUGAGCAUAUCAAUAUCGAAUGCUACAAAAUCGACAUUUCAAGACCAAGAAAUAAACAAAUUACCCCGUCUUAGAACAGCCACAUGGAGAAAACAAUAAACUGCGUCGAAGCUAAAAUUUUGAAAGAUUGGUUGAACCAAAAAAAUAACAUUCCGUGAAAUUCAGAACUAUUUAAUACUAUUCAUUGUUCGUUUACAUUAUGAAAAUUAAUUUCAUAAAUUUAUUCAAAAUUUUAAUAAAUCAUUUUUUCAAUAACUA